UACGUAGGUGGCAAGCGUUGUCCGGAUUUACUGGGCGUAAAGGGCGCGUAGGCGGCAUGGCAAGUCAGGAGUGAAAGGCCUGGGCUCAACCGAGGAACUGCUUUUGAUACUGCCAAGCUAGAGUGCGGAAGGGGCAACUGGAAUUCCCAGUGUAGCGGUGAAAUGCGUAGAUAUUGGGAAGAACACCUGAGGCGAAGGCGGGUUGCUGGGCCGACACUGACGCUGAGGCGCGAAAGCCAGGGGAGCAAACGGG
rnacentral:rRNA from 1 species